GGAAGGUCUUUAGCUCAGUGGUGGAACUCUUGCUUUUCAGGCAGAAGGUCCCAGAAGGUUCAAUCCCUGGAAUCUCCA